CAGGGGGGUGAGGAUACUGGGGCGUGAGGAUACAGGGGGAUGACUGCUACCACUACUGGAAAAGUGAAACCACAUGAGAGUGUGUCCUACUGAUGAAACAUUAAGAUUAUGCCUUUUUGUUUUUAGAAGUCCAAAGAGACUUUGCUACUGGUUGUGAGUUCUGCUUUUCCAGACCAAAGCAACUCAUCUCACAAAUCAACUACCAUCCUACUUUGUAUUAAUUAAGUGUAAGAAAAAUUGAAACCAAAAUAGUUAUUAGAACAGAAGCAUUUAUUGGACACAGUUCUUCAGGCCUGAAAGAGGAGGCACAGUCCAGUAAUUGGAGCUUGGGACCUGGAACCACACUGCUGAAGUUCAGGACCUGCCUCUGACUCUUGAGAGCUGGGUGACCUUGAGCAAGCUAGCGAACUUCGUCUGCAGAAUGACGUGCUUCCCUGAUGGAAAGGAGGAAGACGUGACAUUGAAUGCCGUGUACCAGCAUUGCGGUGGGUUCUGGGGAUUGCUGGUGUGUAGGAUUCACUGCGAAGAUGGAAGCCAACGGAAAGGCAUGACGCAGUUGUCUCAAGUGGAAGUACAUGUUGCGAAAGGAGCUUGGAGAAAGAGGUGGUUAUGAGAAGCCUCUGUAAGAGUUGAUGCCGAGCCUUGAUGGGUGAGUAGGGGCCAAGCAAAGAACAGAGGGAAGCACCCUCCAGGCAGAGGACGCUGGAUGUUUGAAUGCUUGAAAGAGCAUAGUUUGCUGAGAGAAUGCAAAUAAUCUGUAUAAUACGAGGCAGGGGCUACAGUAAGGACUAGGAGAAUAAGAGGAGAAAUGGCAAAGCUGACUAGGCCAAGAGGAGAUAGUGAAGUCUAUUUAGUAUUUUUAAUGUUUUAUUGUUUCUUCAAAAGUGAAAAUUUUAUUUUUGAAAAGGAUUUAAAUAGUGUAUGAUAAUAUAUAAAAGUAAAACAAGCAAAAAUCACUUGAAAGUCUUCUCAAUCUGAGGUUACAACUGUUGAUCCUUUACUGGGCAUCUUUCUAUACUCUUUCUCUCUAUAUAUGUAAUUUCAUGCAAGUAGAAAUAUACUAUGCACAUUGUUAUGCAACUUCCGCCCAUUUUUUUGUCAAUGAUGAGAAUCUUGGACUUUAUUCUAAAGAGCAUUAGUGAUUUUCAAUGAGGAGAUAUCAUAAUAAUAUUUGUAAAUUAUGAAAAAACACACAACGGUAUUGUACAGGGUCAACUUGAGGCAGUGGUGGUGGGAACACCAAAGAGCCCAGGGAAGGAAUGAUGGUGAUAUGAGUCAGGCAAUGGUGAUGGGCUGGAAAAAGGGAGGCGUCCAGAUGGCACAGGAGUAAGCGCGGCGCGCUCUGCGAUUGUGGAGGUGGAGUUGUCAAAAGGAGGGAGGUGCUGAGGAAGAGAGACAGAGGAAGAGAAAUCGCCAGUGAUUCCCAGGUUGCUGGCUGGGAAUGUGUGGGUAUUAACCAGCAGUUUGGAAUGCCUGUGGGAUGUUCAGGUGAAGAGAGCAGGUAAGCAUUUAAAUAUACAGGACUGCAGCUCAAGGUAGAAUUCAAAACUGGAGAUAGAAUUCUGGGCAUAUCAUCAGAGGUUAAAGCUAAGAGAGCUGAGGACUGGUGACACAGGCCAAGCAGGAAACGUUGAGUGGGGACCUUGUUUUGUUCAGUGUUAUAUUCUCAGAACUGCCCCUAGCAUGUAGCAGGGGCUAAGUGUUUCUUGAAUGAGUAAUUAAAUAAUAAUAAACGUUUUUUCUAUUUCA
rnacentral:lncRNA from 1 species